rnacentral:rRNA from 1 species
CAGCGGCGGACGGGUGAGUAACACGUGGGUAACCUGCCUGUAAGACUGGGAUAACUCCGGGAAACCGGGGCUAAUACCGGAUGCUUGAUUGAACCGCAUGGUUCAAUUAUAAAAGGUGGCUUUUAGCUACCACUUACAGAUGGACCCGCGGCGCAUUAGCUAGUUGGUGAGGUAACGGCUCACCAAGGCAACGAUGCGUAGCCGACCUGAGAGGGUGAUCGGCCACACUGGGACUGAGACACGGCCCAGACUCCUACGGGAGGCAGCAGUAGGGAAUCUUCCGCAAUGGACGAAAGUCUGACGGAGCAACGCCGCGUGAGUGAUGAAGGUUUUCGGAUCGUAAAACUCUGUUGUUAGGGAAGAACAAGUACCGUUCGAAUAGGGCGGUACCUUGACGGUACCUAACCAGAAAGCCACGGCUAACUACGUGCCAGCAGCCGCGGUAAUACGUAGGUGGCAAGCGUUGUCCGGAAUUAUUGGGCGUAAAGCGCGCGCAGGCGGUUUCUUAAGUCUGAUGUGAAAGCCCCCGGCUCAACCGGGGAGGGUCAUUGGAAACUGGGGAACUUGAGUGCAGAAGAGGAGAGUGGAAUUCCACGUGUAGCGGUGAAAUGCGUAGAGAUGUGGAGGAACACCAGUGGCGAAGGCGACUCUCUGGUCUGUAACUGACGCUGAGGCGCGAAAGCGUGGGGAGCGAACAGGAUUAGAUACCCUGGUAGUCCACGCCGUAAACGAUGA